rnacentral:rRNA from 1 species
AUUGAACGCUGGCGGCAGGCCUAACACAUGCAAGUCGAGCGGAUGAAGGGAGCUUGCUCCUGGAUUCAGCGGCGGACGGGUGAGUAAUGCCUAGGAAUCUGCCUGGUAGUGGGGGAUAACGUCCGGAAACGGGCGCUAAUACCGCAUACGUCCUGAGGGUGAAAGUGGGGGAUCUUCGGACCUCACGCUAUCAGAUGAGCCUAGGUCGGAUUAGCUAGUUGGUGGGGUAAAGGCCUACCAAGGCGACGAUCCGUAACUGGUCUGAGAGGAUGAUCAGUCACACUGGAACUGAGACACGGUCCAGACUCCUACGGGAGGCAGCAGUGGGGAAUAUUGGACAAUGGGCGAAAGCCUGAUCCAGCAAUGCCGCGUGUGUGAAGAAGGUCUUCGGAUUGUAAAGCACUUUAAGUUGGGAGGAAGGGCAGUAAGUUAAUACCUUGCUGUUUUGACGUUACCAACAGAAUAAGCACCGGCUAACUUCGUG